rnacentral:tRNA from 4 species
GGAGGAUUAGCUCAGCUGGGAGAGCACCUGCCUUACAAGCAGGGGGUCGGCGGUUCGAUCCCGUCAUCCUCCACCAUAA